CCCACUUAAUCAGGCCACCAGCAAUAAUAGGAAGAACUAAAAACAUUGCUACAAAACAUGUAAUCAUAAGAUGUCUGACUCCAAGAGAACUGAGGGAAGUGGAAAUUAUGACAUAAAGAUCCAAAAGGAAAGUGUUUGGGCCAGCUGGAGAGAAGAGGUGGCUCCAAAUUAGUCCUCUCACCUCCACCCUAACCCCAAAGGGCAAAGAAUGACAGCUUAGACAGCAUAUAUUCCUAUUGGUUACAAGCUUGCCAAAGCAGUAGCUUUCAAGGAAUGGCCUAGCCUGUGCCCCUGGGAAUGUGUACCCUGGAGAACUUCCAUUUGCUUUUGGUAGAGAGGAACCUAGAAAGAACAAAGGAAGUCUGACACAUAGUAUAAAAUUGUGAAAAAAAGUUGCCCUUUUACAUUCCAGUUUGAGAUCUUUUAAAAAACAGUGAAGUUUACAUAUAUUCCAUAUCAUCCAAUAUAAAGAUACAAUUGAAUACAAUAAAUGUUCAUAAUCACAUUAAUUGAUUGUAUUUGAAUGUUUUAAAAUAUAUGCAGAGUGUUUUAAAAUAUUCAAAAUAUAUUCACAUUUGUUUUCUGUUUUAACAUUAUAGCAAUCCUGGCCAUGGUGCUUCCCAAAUUUUGUGGACAAUAUAACUGAGACCCAGAGAUUUUCAUCAAAUUGUUAGACAAAGUAAGAUUCAAUCAUAGCCUUCCUGUUUGUUAAAAUGCAUUCUCCACUACCCAUAUCCUUCAUCAUAUUAGAGAAUCAAUAAUUUACUGUUCAUAGUUUCAACUCUCCUCUUUGCUCUAUGUACACACGUUCUCUAAAUCCAUCAAGUAUUUGAUAUCUGUGUUUUCAGAAAUUACAUGUGACCCUUGGUUAGCUUAAUCAAAAUAUUUGCAACUCCGUUUAAGUCUCCCUUGAAUGCACAGUGAGACAAGACAACUUUGAUGCACAGAGUUGUCUUUCUUCGGGAUGACAUUUCUGACAUCAUGUCUGGAAACAAAAGACAUAAUGACUCCAUGAUAUUCCAUCUCAAUCACACAAAAAAACUUAAAAAUUAAAAAAAGAUUUUUAGAAAGAAGAAAUUGCCAUUUUUUUCUGCAGGAAAGGGGAACUGCUUGAAGAAUUUGAAUGAUGUAAGUUUGUCUGAAAGCUUUAAAGAUGAAAGGUAUCACUUUUUACCCAUUAGCAUUAUAGGAUGAUGAGAUCCUGAAUGUGCCUUGCCACUUCAAAGGGUCACUGGACUACAGCUUUCAGAAAAGACUGCCUGCAAGAUUGUGAAGGAGGUUCAAUUCCCUUCAGGUUCUUCUUUCAGUGCACUUGAACAUGGCUACAACUUUUAGAAUUCGCCAAAGUUUUUAAUGUAACUUCUAAAUCUUUCUAUUUCUGGGUCCCCCUUGUAAAUUUCCAUAUAGAACCUCAGAUUUCUUUUGUCCUUCUUCAGGCCUACAUUGAAUUUCUAGGACUUAGACCAGGGUUCUAGCCUCUUGCUUAAAUAUUUAUGCUUAUCACUUCAGUGAACAGAAGGUACAGGUGCAGUUCGGGUUCAAAUUCUGGAAACCCAUCAUGCCUUGCCUAAGAGGUAUCUUGCUGCUAAGACAACUGCCCAGAGAAAUCAGAUGUGUGUCCUGGAGAAACAUGAGGAAUACCAAUUUGACUCAGGGGAGAUCAGAGUUGGGUGAACCUUACUCCAGUUCCUGGUAGAGAGUUUUCCAUAUUAACAACCAUCAGCAGUGGGUUGGACACCAUUCUAAACUCCUCUUGUCUGCUUCUGAAGCAGCUUGCUCUCUCUCUGAAGCACAAUAGGAGCCAUUCGGCCUGGCUAGUCUCUCAGGGGGGUCAACUUUACAUUUCCCAACUCUGUGGAAUUCCUUUGAGAAGUGGCUCACCACCAAGAACCACCUUUUCCCAUGGGACUGAGAUAACACUGCUUGUCCACUCUUUCCCAUGACUCCCAUAAGACAUGGGUGACCCCCUGGUUGAUGAUGAGGCCAAACACAGACCUUCCUUUUUCCUGUACCAGCUGAAAAGGUCAGACACAGACCCUCCACUUUGUUGUUCUUUAUCUCAUAAAUGAUUAGCCUAAGACUAGAACUGUCCCUCCCCCUGAAACUGGCUAGACACAGAGAUAAACAUUUCCUGUUCAGCUAAGUGACUGGGACUCCACCUAAUUGUACAAUAGCCCCAACUGUAAAUCAUGCUGUGUUCCUCCCUGUGACAGUCCAGGGCAAAACCACUGUGCUAAGACAUUCUGAUUUUCAGAUCUAGUGUGCUUUCCUUAUUGUAAUAGCCUGAAUAAAAUCAAUUUCCUUACUGGUUCUCCUUUUGUCUUUGGCAUCAGUAAUGCUGAACAAAACUAUGACACUUAAGAAACUACUCAGACAAUCCUGAACAAUACUCUGAAGGCAGUUGAGAAGUUCACAACCAGCUAGUCCUUGUAUAAUCUUUUUUCCUUUACUAUCUGCAUUCAGUUUAAGCACUGCCCACUGGCAAAGUUACAUAGACACAUAAAUACACAUUGGUACUUUUAUUCAUUUUUGUUUAAAACAGGGAAUCACCUUCCACCAAAUCAUAAAAUUCUCAAGAGCAAGAUAAAGAACACGUUUUCUAAGUCUCCAAAACCCAUUGGAGUAUCUUUCUCACAAGGGAUGGGCAUUGUUAGCCUGCUGGGUUUCAGUUGAUAAUUUUGUCUAAAUAAACUAGGUGGUGUUUUCGUUUUUUCUUUCUCAAUUUAGAGUACUGAGCAAGUUUUGUCCUCUCAGAAUGCCCUUCUUGGAGAUAACAGAUGGGCCAAAUCUGCUAUGAGAUAUCAACAUGUAUUCCUCUGUAAUUCUGUGGGCUUUGUUGUUGUUGGUGGUGGUGGUGGGGUAGCACACAGGGGAGGGAAUGAAGAUGCAUUCAUCACCUGGGGCUAUGAAGUCCAUGCCUCUCCACAGUGCCCCUUCCCUGGCCCUGAAGCUCACAUACACUGCCAAGAUCCAGCUUGUUAACAGAAAUAACACAGCACCAAACUCCUGUGAAUAUCUCCUGCAAAACUUGUUGGAAAAGGCAGGCUCUAAGAUAACGUUCCACGCUGGCAAUUUGGAUUUUCAUUACAAUACCUGUUACUACCUCUGACCUGUCUACUAUAUGCCAACCACAGCACUGAGCACAUCAUAAGUGACACUUUUCAACCACACAACAACUUGCUGAAAGUCAGGUUCAAGUCUGUCUGAAUCCAAAGCCUCUGCUCUUUCUUUACUGAUGAUUGAUCUAUUAUCAAGAAUACAUUUCUUUACCUGAUAUGAGGGAGAGAUUGUGGGCCACCUGAAAACCUUCACAGACUACUAAUAAUCCUCAGAAAGAUUGGGAAGUGGGCGAGGAAAUUCUAAACUCAUACUUGUAUCUUAAUAUUCUAUGAGAUAAACAAGUUAGGGCCAUGUUGAGCAGGUCAGCUAUUGUAAGCAAAGGUCUCAGAUGUGGCACCAAGGCUAUCUGUCCUCGGAUUUCUCUGAACAGCUUAGCAGGGAGUCUCCAUGGUGUAGGCAUAAAAUGAACCAGUGAAGAAAUGUAGAAAAGUAUUUGUUUGUUUUCUCCCAUAGUGUGUUACGAAGGUUUUAGCCCAAAAUCUAAGGAAGCAGAAUGAAGAUUUCUAGAAAACGCAGGUGAGAUGAAGCCAAAGUGUUAUUUAUACAAACAUGAAAUCACAUCAGCUCGUUCUGAAUGCAGCGUAAUAAGCUGCCUUUCUUAGGAAUAAUGAAGCUUGAAACAAAGAUGUUUUUCCUCACUUAUAGGAAUUUCAGACAGCUGGCAUCACAUCCCUUCUAUACUAGAAGUUCCUUUACACUGACCCGAUCCAGGAGUGGUGAGAAGCAUGUAAAUUGUCAAAUGAAAUCCUGCUUGUGGUUUGGAAGGAGGAGAAAAUCCCACCGCCUUUGUUUCUAACCCUGCUGAGAAGCCGUUUUUUAAAAACCCUUUCCAAAGCACUGGGUUCUCUGAGGGUGCUUGAUCAGUGAAUUGUCAAGGUAAAUUUCCAUCUACCAGUUCUCCAGUUUUAGAUCCAAUCAGAUGAUUCCAAAAGAAUAGAAUUGCACAGUGAAGCAAUCUAAGAAAAAUAUAUCUACCAAUGUUGGGGGAAGAUGCCAGGCAUGACAUGGAUAGAAAGGCAAAAACUAAGGCCAGGCAUGGUGGCUCACGCCUGUAAUCCCAGCACUUUGAGAGGCCGA
rnacentral:lncRNA from 1 species